UACAGAGGGGGCAAGCGUUGUUCGGAAUUACUGGGCGUAAAGGGCUUGUAGGUGGCCGACUAAGUCCGACGUGAAAUCCCCAGGCUUAACCUGGGAACUGCGUCGGAUACUGGUUGGCUUGAAUCCGGGAGAGGGAUGCGGAAUUCCACGUGUAGCGGUGAAAUGCGUAGAGAUGUGGAGGAACACCAGUGGCGAAGGCGACUCUUUGGCCUGUAACUGACGCUGAGGCGCGAAAGCGUGGGGAGCAAACAGG
rnacentral:rRNA from 1 species